AACGAACGCUGGCGGCAGGCUUAACACAUGCAAGUCGAACGCCCCGCAAGGGGAGUGGCAGACGGGUGAGUAACGCGUGGGAACGUGCCCUUCGCUUCGGAAUAUUCCCGGGAAACUGGGAGCAAUGCCGAAUACGCCGUAUUGGGAAAGAUUUAUCGGCGAAGGAUCGGCCCGCGUUAGAUUAGCUAGUUGGCGGUGUAAUGGACCACCAAGGCUACGAUCUAUAGCUGGUCUGAGAGGAUGAUCAGCCACACUGGGACUGAGACACGGCCCAGACUCAUACGGGAGGCAGCAGUGGGGAAUUUUGGAAAAUGGGCGCAAGCCUGAUCCAGCCAUGCCGCGUGAGUGAAGAAGGCCUUAGGGUUGUAAAACUCUUUCGCCGGAGAAGAUAAUGACGGUAUCCGGAGAAGAAGCCCCGGCUAACUUCGUGCCAGCCGCCGCAGUAACAC
rnacentral:rRNA from 1 species